ACGGAGGGUGCGAGCGUUGUCCGGAAUCACUGGGCGUAAAGGGCGUGUAGGCGGCUGCGUAAGCCGCGUGUGAAAGCCCGGGGCUCAACCCCGGAACGGCACGCGGGACUGCGUGGCUAGAGCAUGGUAGAGGCGAGUGGAAUUCCUGGUGUAGCGGUGGAAUGCGUAGAGAUCAGGAAGAACACCGGUGGCGAAGGCGGCUCGCUGGGCCAUUGCUGACGCUGAGGCGCGAAAGCGUGGGGAGCAAACAGGAUUAGAUACCCUGGUAGUCCACGCUGUAAACGAUGGGCACUAGGCGUCGGGGGGAGCGACCCUCCCGGUGCCGUCGCUAACGCAAUAAGUGCCCCGCCUGGGGAGUACGGCCGCAAGGUUG
rnacentral:rRNA from 1 species